UGAACUGAUAGACAAAGACGGCCUUGGGCGACAGCUCAUCGCCGCUCACAAAUUGUAAAAAUACACUGAAAAUAUGCUGAAUACUCGACUGUAGGGGCUCCUUCAGGGUCUGGGGCGUUGCCCGCAGCUCAGUGCUGGAUGAUGGAGAGGCCAAACGUGGUCCUGCCAAACCUCCAGCGUUAUCUGUAAAGUCGUUGGAAUUCUCACUGCCAUCGCCAAUGACUUUGCGCACCUUUGCUACAUUGGUGGCCUGGUCCUCCUCAUCAUUGGAACGUGAACGUUUCUUCAGGCCACUGAAGGAUGAGGAGGCCACACCGCUGCGAGUCUCCAGACAGGAGAUGACACAGUAGACGCACAGACGCGCAAGAACCAAUGACUGCGGCUCAUUAAUGUCCUCUCUGCAAAAAAUUUCGAAGGAAAAUUAAGCAAUGGGCUCCACUCCAUAUUUGUUGAGCAAUUCGCUUACCCCUGGCGACGAAGCAUAAGAGGAGGCACCACAUACUGUAGUAGCGCCUCGGUGCCCUUCUCAAUGUCCAGAUGCAUGACGGCAAACACAAUGUCCAUGGUUUUGGACAUGUCCCGAAUGUAUUUGCAGGUGAGCAGCUGCUCGACCAGCUGUGUGGUCAACCACGCAGCACCACCGGCCAGGAGCAGUGACUCCAGGGUCUGGACCGCACGCACGGGCAGAUGACCCGCCUCGGCCACGGUUUUCCACACCUCACGGAACUGUUCGAUGAGCGGCGAGUGGGAGAUGAGGCGGGACUUGGUGCUGGGGGCGGGAUGGACAUCGUGUUGCAUUUUCCUUAUGAUCGGAUAGGACAAGGCCAGUCGCUCCUUGGCAUAUUCCUGACUGGACAACUCCUCGCUAGUGAGGGGGGCCAGGAACUGCUGGAUCAUGUUGAGGGGCUUCAGCAGCUCCGUCUCCCGCACCGAAUACAUGUAGGCGCAGAGAAAGCUGGUUGCGCAGACGGAGAAGCUGAAGAGACGUCGCUUUAUGUUGUCCAAAAUGUUCUUCACGUCCGCCGACGAGAGGGUCUCCUGCUCCCAGGCAAUCAGCACAUGAUGCAGCACUCCUGGCAGAUUCAGGCAGGUCUCUUGCCAGCUCAAAGAGCACGGCUUCAGUUGUGCCGCCUCCGGCUUGCUCAGGCUGAGUAGCAGCUCAUCCACCAUGCUGUCAUCGCAGAGCGCCAAUAUCUGGCGCGGAUUCUUAAGCUUGUUUCGCUCCACCAUGCACUCCCUCACCCACUUCUCAAAGAAGGAGUCCCCGCGAUCGGACAGUACCACCUGAAAUAAAGGAAACUCAAUAAAUAUAUCCUAAAUUUUCACCGAG
rnacentral:misc_RNA from 1 species